UGCUACACCCGCUAUCCGCCAGGGUACUACGAGCAUUAGCUUAAAACCCAAAGGACUUGGCGGUGCUUUAGAUCCCCCUAGAGGAGCCUGUUCUAGAACCGAUAACCCCCGUUAAACCUCACCCUCCCUUGUCAUUCCCGCCUAUAUACCGCCGUCGUCAGCUUACCCUGUGAAGGCACCAUAGUAAGCUAAAUCAGUACAACCCAAAACGUCAGGUCGAGGUGUAGCAUAUGAGAGGGGAAGAAAUGGGCUACAUUCCCUAUAUUUAGGGAACACGAACAAUGUAUUGAAAAAUACAUUAUGAAGGAGGAUUUAGUAGUAAGCUAGAAAAUAGAGUGUUCUGCUGAAACUGGCCCUGAAGCGCGC
rnacentral:rRNA from 1 species